GUCACGGUGGCCGCCUUGAAUUACAAUUCCGAUCGAGCGGCGAGCUGAAUCCUUUGCAGACGACUUAAAUACGCGACGGGGGUAUUGUAAGGGGUAGAGUGGCCUUGCUGCCACGAUCCUCUGAGAUUCAGCCCUUUGUCGCUCCGAUUCGU
rnacentral:ncRNA from 1 species